UCCUGGCUCAGAUUGAACGCUGGCGGCAUGCCUUACACAUGCAAGUCGAACGGCAGCACGGAGCUUGCUCUGGUGGCGAGUGGCGAACGGGUGAGUAAUAUAUCGGAACGUACCCUGGAGUGGGGGAUAACGUAGCGAAAGUUACGCUAAUACCGCAUACGAUCUAAGGAUGAAAGUGGGGGAUCGCAAGACCUCAUGCUCCUGGAGCGGCCGAUAUCUGAUUAGCUAGUUGGUAGGGUAAAAGCCUACCAAGGCAUCGAUCAGUAGCUGGUCUGAGAGGACGACCAGCCACACUGGAACUGAGACACGGUCCAGACUCCUACGGGAGGCAGCAGUGGGGAAUUUUGGACAAUGGGGGCAACCCUGAUCCAGCAAUGCCGCGUGAGUGAAGAAGGCCUUCGGGUUGUAAAGCUCUUUUGUCAGGGAAGAAACGGUGNGAGCUAAUAUCUCNUGCUAAUGACGGUACCUGAAGAAUAAGCACCGGCUAACUACGUGCCAGCAGCCGCGGUAAUACGUAGGGUGCAAGCGUUAAUCGGAAUUACUGGGCGUAAAGCGUGCGCAGGCGGUUUUGUAAGACUGUCGUGAAAUCCCCGGGCUCAACCUGGGAAUGGCGAUGGUGACUGCAAGGCUAGAGUUUGGCAGAGGGGGGUAGAAUUCCACGUGUAGCAGUGAAAUGCGUAGAUAUGUGGAGGAACACCGAUGGCGAAGGCAGCCCCCUGGGUCAAAACUGACGCUCAUGCACGAAAGCGUGGGGAGCAAACAGGAUUAGAUACCCUGGUAGUCCACGCCCUAAACGAUGUCUACUAGUUGUCGGGUUUUAAUUAACUUGGUAACGCAGCUAACGCGUGAA
rnacentral:rRNA from 1 species